rnacentral:misc_RNA from 1 species
UCGUGAGGCUACGGCCUCUUCGAGAGAAAAUCCUUGCCUUUUCGAGCACCUGUUUGUUUCCUCGGCAGCUUCGGCUGCCAAUGGGGACCCUUUAAACUCUUGUAUAAACCUGAAUUAAACGUCUGAAUAAAAAAUAAAUCA